AACGAACGCUGGCGGAAUGCCUAACACAUGCAAGUCGAACGAGACCUUCGGGUCUAGUGGCGCACGGGUGCGUAACGCGUGGGAACCUGCCCUUAGGUUCGGAAUAACUCCCCGAAAGGGGUGCUAAUACCGGAUAAUGUCUUCGGACCAAAGAUUUAUCGCCUUUGGAUGGGCCCGCGUUGGAUUAGCUAGUUGGUAGGGUAAAAGCCUACCAAGGCGACGAUCCAUAGCUGGUCUGAGAGGAUGAUCAGCCACACUGGGACUGAGACACGGCCCAGACUCCUACGGGAGGCAGCAGUGGGGAAUAUUGGACAAUGGGCGAAAGCCUGAUCCAGCAAUGCCGCGUGAGUGAUGAGGGCCUUAGGGUUGUAAAGCUCUUUUACCCGGGAUGAUAAUGACAGUACCGGGAGAAUAAGCUCCGGCUAACUCCGUG
rnacentral:rRNA from 1 species